UUUUUGCAUUAUUUUUGAAAUUGAAUGUAUUAAAAUGUUUAUGUGGAUAUCAUGCUUACUCAAAACUGCUGAAUUUGAGUUCUAAAAAGACUUCUGACUGUUAUAGGCUGUACUGAGUUUUACAUGGCAGAACUGCUUUUUCCAUUCACGAAAUACUGCACAACUUGCUGCAAGUCCAUUCUAAACUCCCCAGAGCUUCAUCAAAAUCUUGAUUACAAUGUGGUCUGAAGACCAUUUAUGGGAAAAACCAAGCUAGCUGAUUGGAAAUGGCUGCAAUAAGAACCCACAAGAAAGUGCGAUAAAUUCUUCUACGAAGGUCAAGUUUUCGUCAGUUCGAACGACAGUCGUCUAUUCAUCUGUCGUCGGGUUACGAUGUUCACCUGCCUGAAAGAUUCAUGCCUAUUUUCUUCAACUAGAAGAUCAAUAUUUCCAAUGGAAACUGGAACAACUGAAAUGAAUGUUGAAGAGGACUUGAAUUUCAAUACUACCAUACGUCUUCUGAAUUCAGGCUUGAAAGGACAUGCAACUAUUCUAUUCAGAUGUCGAAAGGUCUUCACUACAACCCCAGCUGCAAAGUCAGCCAAACAUGUAACUUGUAUUGCAUAGUAUACCGUUUAAUUAAAAUGUCACUGUAAUUGAUAACGAACUCGGGUUCAUGUGUUUAAUAUUUCGAGACUACUCCAAACUUGAUUUCCGAGACAAAUGUAAUUGCAUGUAAUCGAUAUUAGAUUGACUUAAUUUUUACCUACUAAGAGAACUUCAUUAAAUUGUUAAUUAAAAACACUUAAAUCUCUAAUUUUGCUCUCAUUGUAUUUCUCGUGUUUCUAAGAAAAUGGAACGGACGAAAUAAUUUAAAAUGACUAGGUCAAGAUUAGUGUUACUCCCAAAACGCGUGUUCGAUUCCGAGUCUCGCACCUAUCUGGCAGGUUUAGUUAAUUGCUGAUAGGUUUAGGAGAAUUGUUUUGACAAUGCUCUUAAUAGAGCUUCCAUUCUGACAUCGGGACUUUGCAGAUUGCCUCCCAAUGAAAUUUCCUCAAGGGUAUCUCUCUUUCAAAAAUCGAAGCAAGCGGUAAUGUAUUCGUUUAGCAAUAACUUUUUACUAUUUGCAGUUUAUAAAGAUCCUACUUCAGCUAAAUCGGCUCAAUGACAAGAUCGCUGACUUUAGUAGAAAGUUACGCUAAAUUUAAUUGAAUUACUAAAGCAACUUGACCAUGCAAUUGCGAUAGUAGAAAUUUUGGCUCGUGUCUCUUUAUAGUUCACUGUUCUCCUCAAACCAUUUCGGUCGAGGGAAAUUAAAUAAGCUAGGAAAAAAACUUGUUUGUUUGGUUUUAUACCCUCUAUAAAGAAAUGGGUUGUCAAUACCAUUAAAUUUUAUCUUCUGACAUAGGUAUAUUGCUAACUAAUGACAAGAGGGCCCAAAUCUUAAAUUCUCUAAUCUAAGAAAGUUCAAAUAAAGUUAAAUUUUAUUUUAUAGUGAUAUACUUAAGUUGAAAUGGAAAUAAAACUUUAAACGGAACUUUUUUACCAUUUUCUUAAAGCUUAAGAUCAAUGCGAUACGCAAAGGUAGAGCAGCAUUACGGUUGCCUUGUUUGCCAAUUCUUAAGUUUCUAUCAAUAAUUGCAAAUGCCAAUGUUGAAAGUAGAAAUUGCCUGACUGUCGUUGGAGGCUUGGGAAAUCGGAAUGCGCUUCGAAAAGAGAAUGAGGGGUGGGGGAGAGAACGCUUUAAAUAUACUGAUCCCUGCCUACUUUCUGUUUAGGCUGUUCGGGACCGGCGGUCGAAACAGAAAGUGGCGGUCCCCAGGGAGCAGGUAUUUAACGCGUUAUCGGGUAGACGUAGUAUCGGGAACUGAACACUCGGAUAGAUAGGCGGGUGUAAUAGGCUAAACUGCGUAGCAAUUGCCCUCGCUAGUCAAUGUAUUGAAAAUAUCGAUUACAUUUGGGGAAGGGAGGACAAUGUAGUUAGUUGCAACUUGUACUGCAACAUUGGCAGCAACUAUUGAGUUGUUAAAUUUAAGAGCGACAAAUGGGCACUGUAAAACCUCGCGUAUAAAAUUACUCUUUCGUAUCAAUUUUUCUUGUAAUGUAAAAAGUCGUAGAGUUAUACAAGUAAAUGUAUUAAAGGCAAAAUUAUUCCAAAAUAGUCUUGAAAAGUCUUCCAAAAUACCUAAAUUGAAACUAUAGCCUUCAAUCUCGUGAUUAAAAUUUGCAACUCGCACUACUUGGGAAAUAUUUUACUUGUUUAAUAGUUUAUUUAUAGAAACUUCGGCAUCAAGUCUAUUUAACAUCAAAUUUUAAAUGAACAAUCCUCGAGCAAUGGUUUGAGGGGGAAGUAUUCUCGUGAAAUGGGAACUAAGGUAAUCAACUCGUUUCAAGCUCUUUCGCUGCUCUUUCGGUGACUUUGAUUUAAUGUAAUAGAUUUUCAUAACAUAUUUAAAUUUAAUAUUGAAAUAGUAAAAGUUCAAGAUUUAACUAAGCGUAUUUUAUUUAAAGUCUAAUAAAUUUAGUCAAUCUCGUUCCGGAUCUCGCUUGAUACGUUUUUACAAGAAACACGCCACUAAUAUCUUGUAUUUAUCCCUUAUUCCUUUAUGUCGUUUCAGCAUCAAAUACUUGAACGCUCUAAAACUCCAGCCGGAUAUUUUUAAUAUCUAAAUUUUUGCAAUAGCCAUGGUUUUUGUACAUUCGCUUCUAAUUUAAGAAUCUAAGUCAUAAAUACUAUAAAAUUUGAAGGAAAUCUAAAAUUACCACACAGACUUGGAAUCGAACAAAUCUACAAUAUAACUUGAAUUUCGAAGAAAGUCUACUUUAAAUGAAUUACCUCAAAUAAUCGCAUGUUUUGAAAGUCAGAAUCGUCCGCUUCAUUUAAAUAAGUCUUUAAAUUUAAAUUUGUUUUGGUUUAUUUAAACUUCAAACUCUUUUAAUAGACUUAACUCAAAGUUCAUUUUUAAUAAAAUAAAAUUUCAAAAAGAUCGGUCCAAAUUAUUUUUU